AACAUGUUGGAUCACCAAAUUCACCUUUGGAAGGUCAUUCUCCAAACGCACCCAAUGAAAAUGGUUCGUCGUUCCUACCACAUUCUCCAUCAUCGUCACCUGGUCAAGAAGAAAGUGUGGAGAGUCCUUCAGGUUCCGCUAGGGAAACACCUACAAACGAAGCAAGUUUCAUUGGAAGAUCACCAAAUAAUGAAGAUCAUUUGAAAACAUCAAGUGGGGCUCCUUCGUCAACACCUACAAUUGGAAAAUCAAUUCCAUCGUUGGAACCACAACAAGAAGACAUGGCAUCUCCUCAACCAGUUUCUUCUCGACUAACACCGACAAAUAAUGAAAAUCGUGUGAAACGAAAGGGUCAAACAACAACUCAACAUGUUGGAUCACCAAAGACACCUUCGGAAGGUCAUUCUCCAAACGCACCCAAUGAAAAUGUUUCGUCGUUCCUACCACAUUCUCCAUCAUCGUCACCUGGUCAAGAAGAAAGUGUGGAGAGUCCUUUAGGUUCCGCUAGGGAAACACCUACAAACGAAGCAAGUUUCAUUGGAAGAUCACCAAAUAAUGAAGAUCAUUUGAAAAUAUCAAGUGGGGCUCCUUCUUCAACACCUACAAUUGGAAAAUCAAUUCCAUCGUUGGAACCACAACAAGAAGACAUGGCAUCUCCUCAACCAGUUUCUUCUCGACUAACACCGACAAAUAAUGAAAAUCGUGUGAAACGAAAGGGUGAAACAACAACUCAACAUGUUGGAUCACCAAAGACACCUUCGGAAGGUCAUUCUCCAAACGCAGCCAAUGAAAAUGGAUCGUCGUUCCUACCACAUUCUCCAUCAUCGUCACCUGGUCAAGAAGAAAGUGUGGAGAGUCCUUUAGGUUCCGCUAGGGAAACACCUACAAACGAAGCAAGUUUCAUUGGAAGAUCACCAAAUAAUGAAGAUCAUUUGAAAACAUCAAGUGGGGCUCCUUCUUCAACACCUACAAUUGGAAAAUCAAUUCCAUCGUUGGAACCACAACAAGAAGACAUGGCAUCUCCACAAACAGGAUCUCCUCGACUAACACCGACAGAUAAUAAAAAUCAUGUGAAACGAAAGGGUCAAACAACAACGCAACAUGUUAGAUCACCAAAUUCACCUUUGGAAGGUCAUUCUCCAAACGCACCCAAUGAAAAUGGUUCGUCGUUCCUACCACAUUCUCCAUCAUCGUCACCUGGUCAAGAAGAAAGUGUGGAGAGUCCUUCAGGUUCCGCUAGGGAAACACCUACAAACGAAGCAAGUUUCAUUGGAAGAUCACCAAAUAAUGAAGUACAUUUGAAAACAUCAAGUGGGGUUCCUUCGUCAACACCUACAAUUGGAAAAUCAAUUCCAUCGUUGGAACCACAACAAGAAGACAUGGCAUCUCCUCAACCAGUUUCUUCUCGACUAACACCGACAAAUAAUGAAAAUCGUGUGAAACGAAAGGGUGAAACGACAACGCAACAUGUUGGAUCACCAAAUUCACCUUUGGAAGGUCAUUCUCCAAACGCACCCAAUGAAAAUGGUUCGUCGUUCCAACCACAUUCUCCAUCAUCGUCACCUGGUCAAGAAGAAAGUGUGGAGAGUCCUUCAGGUUCCGCUAGGGAAACACCUACAAACGAAGCAAGUUUCAUUGGAAGAUCACCAAAUAAUAAUGAAGAUCAUUUGAAAACAUCAAGUGGGGCUCCUUCGUCAACACCUACAAUUGGUAAAUCAAUUCCAUCGUUGGAACCACAACAAGAAGACAUGGCAUCUCCACAAACAGGAUCUCCUCGACGAACACCGACAGAUAAUAAAAAUCAUGUGAAACGAAAGGGUCAAACAACAACGCAACAUGUUAGAUCACCAAAUUCACCUUUGGAAGGUCAUUCUCCAAACGCACCCAAUGAAAAUGGUUCGUCGUUCCUACCACAUUCUCCAUCAUCGUCACCUGGUCAAGAAGAAAGUGUGGAGAGUCCUUCAGGUUCCGCUAGGGAAACACCUACAAACGAAGCAAGUUUCAUUGGAAGAUCACCAAAUAAUGAAGAUCAUUUGAAAACAUCAAGUGGGGCUCCUUCGUCAACACCUACAAUUGGAAAAUCAAUUCCAUCGUUGGAACCACAACAAGAAGACAUGGCAUCUCCUCAACCAGUUUCUUCUCGACUAACCCCGACAAAUAAUGAAAAUCGUGUGAAACGAAAGGGUGAAACAACAACUCAACAUGUUGGAUCACCAAAGACACCUUUGGAAGGUCAUUCUCCAAACGCACCCAAUGAAAAUGGAUCGUCGUUCCUACCACAUUCUCCAUCAUCGUCACCUGGUCAAGAAGAAAGUGUGGAGAGUCCUUCAGGUUCCGCUAGGGAAACACCUACAAACGAAGCAAGUUUCAUUGGAAGAUCACCAAAUAAUAAUGAAGAUCAUUUGAAAAUAUCAAGUGAGGCUCCUUCGUCAACACCUACAAUUGGUAAAUCAAUUCCAUCGUUGGAACCACAACAAGAAGACAUGGCAUCUCCACAAACAGGAUCUCCUCGACUAACACCGACAGAUAAUGAAAAUCAUGUGAAACGAAAGGGUCAAACAACAACGCAACAUGUUGGAUCACCAAAGACACCUUUGGAAGGUCAUUCUCCAAACGCACCCAAUGAAAAUGGAUUGUCGUUCCUACCACAUUCUCCAUCAUCGUCACCUGGUCAAGAAGAAAGUGUGGAGAGUCCUUCAGGUUCCGCUAGGGAAACACCAACAAACGAAGCAAGUUUCAUUGGAAGAUCACCAAAUAAUGAAGAUCAUUUGAAAACAUCAAGUGGGGCUCCUUCGUCAACACCUACAAUUGGAAAAUCAAUUCCAUCGUUGGAACCACAACAAGAAGACAUGGCAUCUCCUCAACCAGUUUCUUCUCGACUAACACCGACAAAUAAUGAAAAUCGUGUGAAACGAAAGGGUGAAACAACAACUCAACAUGUUGGAUCACCAAAUUCACCUUUGGAAGGUCAUUCUCCAAACGCACCCAAUGAAAAUGGUUCGUCGUUCCAACCACAUUCUCCAUCAUCGUCACCUGGUCAAGAAGAAAGUGUGGAGAGUCCUUUAGGUUCCGCUAGGGAAACACCUACAAACGAAGCAAGUUUCAUUGGAAGAUCACCAAAUAAUGAAGAUCAUUUGAAAACAUCAAGUGGGGCUCCUUCGUCAACACCUACAAUUGGUAAAUCAAUUCCAUCGUUAGAACCACAACAAGAAGACAUGGCAUCUCCACAAACAGGAUCUCCUCGACUAACACCGACAGAUAAUAAAAAUCAUGUGAAACGAAAGGGUCAAACAACAACGCAACAUGUUAGAUCACCAAAUUCACCUUUGGAAGGUCAUUCUCCAAACGCACCCAAUGAAAAUGGUUCGUCGUUCCUACCACAUUCACCAUCAUCGUCACCUGGUCAAGAAGAAAGUGUGGAGAGUCCUUCAGGUUCCGCUAGGGAAACACCUACAAACGAAGCAAGUUUCAUUGGAAGAUCACCAAAUAAUAAUGAAGAUCAUUUGAAAACAUCAAGUGAGGCUCCUUCGUCAACACCUACAAUUGGUAAAUCAAUUCCAUCGUUGGAACCACAACAAGAAGACAUGGCAUCUCCACAAACAGGAUCUCCUCGACUAACACCGACAGAUAAUAAAAAUCAUGUGAAACGAAAGGGUCAAACAACAACGCAACAUGUUAGAUCACCAAAUUCACCUUUGGAAGGUCAUUCUCCAAACGCACCCAAUGAAAAUGGUUCGUCGUUCCUACCACAUUCUCCACCAUCGUCACCUGAUCAUGAAGAAAUUGUGGAGAGUCCUUCAGGUUCUGCUAGGGAAACACCUACAAACGAAGCAAGUUUCAUUAGAAGAUCACCAAAUAAUGAAGAUCAUUUGAAAACAUCAAGUGGGGCUCCUUCGUCAACACCUACAAUUGGUAAAUCAAUUCCAUCGUUGGAACCAAAACAAGAAGACAUGGCAUCUCCUCAAACAGGAUCUCCUCUGCCAACACCGACAAAUAAAGAAAAACGUGUGAAACGAAAGGGUCAAACGACAACGCAACAUGUUGGAUCACGAAAUUCACCUUUGGAAGGUGAUUCUCCAAACGCACCCAAUGAAAAUGGUUCGUCGUUUCAACCACAUUCUCCAUCAUCGUCAC
rnacentral:lncRNA from 1 species